CGGACGGGCGAGUAAUGUCUGGGAAACUGCCCGAUGGAGGGGAUAACUACUGGAAACGGUAGCUAAUACCGCAUAACGUCGCAAGACCAAAGAGGGGGACCUUCGGGCCUCUUGCCAUCGGAUGUGCCCAGAUGGGAUUAGCUAGUAGGUGGGGUAACGGCUCACCUAGGCGACGAUCCCUAGCUGGUCUGAGAGGAUGACCAGCCACACUGGAACUGAGACACGGUCCAG
rnacentral:rRNA from 1 species